CAAACACAAUAUGUUGACAAAAGACAAUUACAACAUCAGACGCCAAUACAAAAUGUUGAUAACAGGCAGUUACCACAUCCACUACAAGAAAAUAAUCAUAUACCGGCAGUCAAAUAGCGGCAGUUGCUCACCAACCGCAGCCGCUUCCACAUAUACCAGCAGUUUGGUAGCCGCCGCUCUUGUUCAUAUAAUACCGGCUGUUGGCUUAUAUCUAACACCGUCGGUUUGAAUCACCGCUGAUUGCUUAUAGUAGAUUUGGGAAAAACACUGCUACCUAAUCUACUUUCCCUUGUUUUUUUCUUCACUUUUCCCUCAUAUUUUUCAUUCUUUACCUCAUCCACAGAAGAAGCGUCAAAAUUGCUCCCUUCCUUUCGACGUCGUAGUUCCAUCCACAGUUGACGUUCCUCUCGUCGCCAUCGCAGCUCCUCCUCAACACAGGUUUCAUCGCUCUCUCUUCCCCCCUCUCUCUUCCUAUCUCCGAUUACGAUCCCUUGUUAUCCACGUGUUUGGUUAGGAUUCUUCUCUUGUUUUGCUUAAUUUGUUAAUUUCUUGGAUUCUUCUACAGUUUGAUUUUAGGGUUUUUAAAGUUUAGUGGUUUAAUUUCUUGGAUUCUUCUACAGUUUGAUUUUUAGGGUUUUUGAGUUUAGUGAUUUAAUUUCUUGGAUUCUUCUGCAUUUUGAUUUUUAGUGUUUUGAUAGUUUGUUAAUUCUCUUGGAUUGAUUCUUCUACCGUUUCAAUUUGAUCCAAAUUUCACAUUUUUUUUAAUUAAACAUAUUGAUCAGAUUUAUAUAAUGAACAAAUGUGUAAAAUAUAAAAAAGCAUACUUAUCAGGAACCUAGAUCAUCUUUGUAUUACAACAUAUUAUUGAUUAUUGAUGAAAGAAUCGUGUAAAUUUUCAAUAAUGGUAACAAAAAUUCAACCAAAAUGCAUUAUAGGAAUGAUUAUAAUGGGAUAUAUAUGGUUGGAUUUUGGGGGAUCAGAUUUUUAUGCAUUUAUUCUAGACAUAUUAUAAUUGGCCUACAAACAUGUAAAUACUAAAUGGUAUAUUAUUAGCUUAAUUAGACUCAGAUCUCAUCACAUAAUCUUUCUAGUUGAAUUCCAUGAAACCAUCAAAAGAUCACACUCACCUCCAACAAAGUCUUUCUUUUUGCUUUAGUGAGUGAUUCACUUCAAAUUCUGCUGGAGUUCCUGAUAAUCUCGUUCCUUUGCAAGGUUAGUAAAAUUUUAUGUUUAAUUGUGGAAUAUGGCCUGAUGCUAUUAUUCAUCAUUGAAUUCGUCUAUGAUUGAGCGUAAGAAGAAGCAAUUACAAACAUCACUUUAAACUAAGCACCGUUUAUAUUUCAUUACCCUUUUUUUAACAUUGGAAAGUUCAUACUUUUAGUAAUUAGCAUGGGAUGACUGUACAUAUAGAUUCCUUAAUAUUGAAUCAAUUGAAAUAAGUGGUAUAGAUACUUUCAAGACCCUUCUUUAUUCACACAUAGCAGUGUCAGUGUGUGUGUUGGUAUGUGAGGGAUAUUUAUAUCAUGUCAAACUAAGGUCACAAUAUAAUAAUUGUUACCUCUUUGAAAGGACUUGAUCACAAACAGGGCAUACAGCAUACUCCAUCGUUGCUUAAUAUCUCAUUGGCAUCUUCAGUGCAUGUUAACUAUGUUAAGGAAACCAGAACAAUGUGAAUAACCACUUGAAUAACAGAACAAAUAGGAGUAUCUACCUAAUUUGAUAUGAACUAUACUGAUUUUAUUUACUGAGUUUCCUCAUUAUGCUGUAAAUUAACAUGAAAAUGACAGGGAUGCUAUUACUGUAUCAGUUAUAAAUUUAAUAAAUUCUAUACGACAAUAAACCACCAAGCCUUAUUAUACAAGUUCCAAGUUUCACACUGAUCAAUUUUGUAAUCUUAAUUUUCUCUUUGUAGGUUUUGAACCAUUUGUUAUAUCUUAUGAGAGUUUCAGAAAAGGCAUUCCAAAGACGAGUUGCUUUGGCUCUUGCUCAUCUUUGUUCUGCAGAUGACCAGAGAAAAAUAUUUAUUGACCACAAUGGGCUGGAGUUGCUUAUUGGACUUCUUGGUUCAUCCUGUCCUAAGCAGCAACUCGACGGUGCCGUGGUAAACCUCAAAUAAGUCUCGAGUUCUUGGUUCAUCCUGGAGUUGCUUACAAGGUGUAUGGUGUAAAACCACCUGAAAGUGCAGUAUUGAAUGGAAGAAAAUCAGGUGAUUUUACAACUCUGAAUGUUCAUAUUGAUGGUUUUAGUUGGUCUUUCAAAGACAUUGGCCGAAGAUGCUGCAUGAUCGUUGGUGGCGAAGGUGCAUAGCUGAACUAAUGAAGCAAUUCUUUGCAAGAGGCAGUUCUGAUGUGUAGCUCAAGUAAUUUUUAUGGGUGUUGGGUAUCAAUAGCAACCUGCAAAAUCUUGCAGGCUAAAGGUGAUGAGAUAGCAAAAUUGAUGAAUGAGAAUGAACAAUUCCAAGCUUUAAUUGAAGAUUUAAAGAAAGGGAUGAUGCUUGAUAGUGUGGAGUUAACAGGAAGUACAUGUUGGCUUGUAGUUGACAGGUCUGAUAUGAAACAUCUUGCUUUAAAGUCUAUUUUGAUGUGUUCUUUAGGUGUGAUUUACAUUCAUCAGGUGUGGUAAAGUAUUUUUGGUUGGUUUGGUUUGAUGUUGGUGCUGCCAUCAAAUUUGCCUUUGUUAUUGCUCAGCUGGUCUAUGCAUAAAGUUUACAAGUUCUCUGCACAUCCUUAAACUAUCUCUAGUUUUGUGGUUCUACUACUAGGUGUAUGCAAUGUGCAAUAUUCAUUAAUUUAUAAUCAUUAUAUCUCAUCUUAGGUGUUGAAUUUGUGAUUAAACUCUUCUAUUUGUGACUUCAAUUUCAUGUUUGUACUUUGGAUAUUAAUUUACUGGAAUGCACUUAUCAAUUAGACUCCAA